CGGAGAGUGGCGCAGCCUGGUUCAGCGCGCACGGUUCGGGACCGUGAGGUCGCGGGUUCAAAUCCCGCCUCUCCGACUA
rnacentral:tRNA from 1 species